rnacentral:rRNA from 1 species
GUAUCAGCUAGUUGGUAAGGUAAUGGCUUACCAAGGCUAUGACGCUUAACUGGUCUGAGAGGAUGAUCAGUCACACUGGAACUGAGACACGGUCCAGACUCCUACGGGAGGCAGCAGUAGGGAAUAUUGCGCAAUGGGGGAAACCCUGACGCAGCAACGCCGCGUGGAGGAUGACACUUUUCGGAGCGUAAACUCCUUUUCUUAGGGAAGAAUUCUGACGGUACCUAAGGAAUAAGCACCGGCUAACUCCGUGCCAGCAGCCGCGGUAAUACGGAGGGUGCAAGCGUUACUCGGAAUCACUGGGCGUAAAGGGCGCGUAGGCGGAUUAUCAAGUCUCUUGUGAAAUCUAAUGGCUUAACCAUUAAACUGCUUGGGAAACUGAUAGUCUAGAGUGAGGGAGAGGCAGAUGGAAUUGGUGGUGUAGGGGUAAAAUCCGUAGAUAUCACCAAGAAUACCCAUUGCGAAGGCGAUCUGCUGGAACUCAACUGACGCUAAGGCGCGAAAGCGUGGGGAGCAAACAGGAUUAGAUACCCUGGUAGUCCACGCCCUAAACGAUGUACACUAGUUGUUGGGGUGCUAGUCAUCUCAGUAAUGCAGCUAACGCAUUAAGUGUACCGCCUGGGGAGUACGGUCGCAAGAUUAAAACUCAAAGGAAUAGACGGGGACCCGCACAAGCGGUGGAGCAUGUGGUUUAAUUCGAAGAUACGCGAAGAACCUUACCUGGGCUUGAUAUCCUAAGAACCUUAUAGAGAUAUGAGGGUGCUAGCUUGCUAGAACUUAGAGACAGGUGCUGCACGGCUGUCGUCAGCUCGUGUCGUGAGAUGUUGGGUUAAGUCCCGCAACGAGCGCAACCCACGUAUUUAGUUGCUAACGGUUCGGCCGAGCACUCUAAAUAGACUGCCUUCGUAAGGAGGAGGAAGGUGUGGACGACGUCAAGUCAUCAUGGCCCUUAUGCCCAGGGCGACACACGUGCUACAAUGGCAUAUACAAUGAGACGCAAUACCGCGAGGUGGAGCAAAUCUAUAAAAUAUGUCCCAGUUCGGAUUGUUCUCUGCAACUCGAGAGCAUGAAGCCGGAAUCGCUAGUAAUCGUAGAUCAGCCAUGCUACGGUGAAUACGUUCCCGGGUCUUGUACUCACCGCCCGUCACACCAUGGGAGUUGAUUUCACUCGAAGCCGGAAUACUAAACUAGUUACCGUCCACAGUGGAAUCAGCGACUGGGGUGAAGUCGUAACAAGGUAACCGUAGGAGAACCUGCGGUUGGAUCACCUCCUUUCUA